UGAAGGUACUGUGAGGAACUUGGGGUUUGUGUAAAUUUUGGGGCUCCUUGUGGACAAAGUAGUCUUUGCUUAUUUUGUCCUCCACAUGUUUGAGUGGUUUCUCUCAUGCUGCUGUCUGUUCACAGUGAAAUGUUAAAAAUUAAAAGGAGGGCUGUUUCCUCUAGUGACUCCACUAACACCGACCCCUUUGUCCUGAUUUCAGGUGUUUGAAAUUACAACAUAAAAAAUAACCAAUCUUGUCACUGAUAGUCUUGUUUGCUUUUUAAUAUCAUUCAAGGCAUCAGUAUAAAUUUCAGUCUAUUUUAUAAAUAUUAAAAAGUCCUAACAGUAGCUGUAAAGCAGAGCAGAAAAAGAGGGAUUUACAAUAUUGAAUUUGUUCUGGUGUUUGAUGCAGAUCAUUUCAAAUUUAAUUUGGCUGAUACUGAUACAAGUAGAUCACGAGUCAGCUAAAGCACUGAAUGGCUUGUUGUCAAGAGCAAGGAUUUCAGUGUUUUUCUUUUAAGACUUUACUGUUUAUUGGAUAGUCAGUACUUUCAUGUCUUCACUGCACUGACUGACUGAAUGAGAGGCUGCUUACAGGUUUUUGUUUGCUCCUGCGCCUCAUUUUUCUUACUUCAGACACUCCUGAUGCUGCAGGAUGACGGCUGUUUCAGAUGCACAAUUAAACUGGCAGUUAAAGGGAUUUGUUUCGCUUCUUUCCCCAUCAUCUUUGCUUUACAAGCAUUGCAAAUAGCUUUUUUGCAGUGUUUCCAACACUUCAAAAUACUACAGCCAGCAGCGGUUUCUUUCUCAGGGAAUCACCUCACCAGUCAUGAAGUUUUUGUACCUGCUGAUAACUACAAUUAACCUUAAAGCUUUAAACUGCUGAUACCAAUAUUCUGUCAAUGAUAUAUUAUAUCCUCAAUGUAAAAAUGCUAUAUCUUUCUCAAUCUUCCAGCCAAGAUACCUAUUUAAGUUUUCCAAAAACUCAAUUUUUUAAUCAUCUUCACCUCCUUAGAAGGUAAUCAAAACACAAUCUCAACUCAAGCCUUUAAAAAUGGAUUCCUUCACCUCAUCUGAGCCUGGAUCAGGCCUUUAUAAUUCCCUCAAUAGGAAGAAAAGAAGCACAUCUGGCAUUUACCUUUUGCAUAGUGUGGAAGCUGCAGCAGGUCCUGAGACCUGUCAUGACUUGGAAUGACCUCUGACCUCUUGAGGUUGUGGAAAAGACUGUGAUCAAGAAAAUAUCACAUUAUCAUAUUAUCUGGCAUGAGAGAAAAGGCUGGACCAUUUAGCCCAGUACUCUUUUGUUGGAACUCCAUUUAGGUAAUGAUAUAAAGUAGAACAGGAUUGCCUCAUCAGUUGUAUGUAUUGAUAUGGGCCUAUAUGUUAUGUUCUGGUAUUAUCAAAUAGGACUAAUGCAGUAUACCCCAUUGUGUGCUCAAGUGUAAAUGUGCCCCACUUAUUAUUAUGGUGAAGGAUUCUCAUUGUGAGCGCUCCCUUUAAUGAUGAGAGUAUGUAGAUACAAAAGCUCUUUACUGUACAUGAGGAAAUAUGUAUCAGUGGUGAUCUCAUGUGGUGGGGUCACACUCAAUGGCUAAUGUAAUAUAAAGCACACGAACAGA